rfam:Aedes albopictus isolate Foshan contig123614, whole genome shotgun sequence.
UACCCAGCAACUCCUACCCCUACCCCCUCGUGGUACCGUUCGGAAACUAUGAGCAACCUUAGGAAAGAUUGGGUAAUCAACCCCGGUGGGAACUUUGGUCGUAGGCUGAUAGGGAAGG